UGGUCGCCAGCCUCUGGCCAGCCCCUGCAGCCCAGCCGUUUUCCGGCAGGAGGGCUGGGCUGAGUACGGCCGAGGACUGGGCAGGCAGGGCAGCCGGUGGUCGCCGUCCCUCCAGGACACGAGUGCCCCUGCACAGGGGCGGAAGGGGAGGCCCGGGAGCCGGGGAGCCGCGGAGGCCAAGGGCCAGGCCGGCCAGGCCCCAGGGCAGGGCGGGGCGAUCCCAGCGUGCGGCCCUGAGGCACUGUCCCCACACCGCUCCACACUGUCCCGAAGCCCCCGAGCGCCAGCCCGGACCCCCGGGACACGCCCCCCACCACACACACACACACACACACACACACACACACACACACACACUCCCCCCCCCGACCCCCGGGACACACACCCCCACCCCACCCCCUGCACCCCCCGCACCCCCGACCGCUGGGACACCCCCCCACACACUCCCCUCCCCUCCAGCAACGCGCGGCGCUCCCAUCCCCCGGCAGCCCACCAGGUGGCGCUCGCUCCCCCACCCCCCCCCCCCCGCGCCGACGCCCGUGACGUCAGCCGCCCGGCUCCAUUUGAGCGCCUCUCGGCAGCCGAGAACUCGGACUUCCCGUGUGGCUCACAACAUAACUACUCGGCGUUGCUUCUACAGUGGCUGUGGCUCGACCCCUGGCCUGGGAACUUCCAUAUGCCGCAGGUCCUUGAAGCCCACCCAAGACCCCCAUUGGCCCCAGCAGCCCAGAUCCACAAACAAGCAAACAAACAAGCAAACAAACAAACAAACAAACAAACAAACAAACAAAGGCUGCCUCGGGAUCACCUGAACCAGAGCUUGGAAAAACCCGCGGGGAGGAUCGUUUGGGUUUCGUUGUUUGCAAAGGCUGGCGGGCUGGGGGGGGGGGCGGACGGUGGCACCCCAUGCCCGAGACGGCCCCGUCAGGUCGCUGGCGCUGACUUGAAGCCUGGGAGGAUAGCCUCUUUCUGCACAGGGAACUGACUCGGGUUUGGAGCCCGCAGCUGAGGGCGCUGGGCGUGUGUCCUCAAUCCUCCUGCGGUCAGCAAUGCAGUGGCUUCGUCUGCUUUGAGUCGGAGGUCGAUUCUUACGAUUAAAGUCGAGCUGAUGUCCAAUGUUUCCUCCAGGGGUCUUGGUCCGCCAAGGGACCCACUCGCAGACAUUUCCCCGCGCUGUACCGGCGGCUCCCGUGGCCCAUCCAUUCCACACAGCGCAGGUGGCAUCCACAGAGCAGCCCAGAGGCCCAUCCCCAUCCAUCCCAGGGCAGCCCCUUUCCCCCACCCCACCCCCACCCCCACCCCCACCCGCCAAGCCCAAGUGUGUGCUCCUUGCCCACCCUCGGUUUCUGGUGUCUGCGGGUGGGUGUUUAGAUAGCGCCAUCCGUUGCGUCGUUUAGAGUCCACCAACAGGUGAUGUCCUAGGGCACUUGUCUUUUUCCUUUCUGGCUUCCUUCGCUUAGCCUGAGGGUCUCUCGUUCCAGCCCCGCGGCGGCAGAUGGCACUCGUUCUGCCGCUUUUUCCUGGCUGUGUGCGAUGCCAUCGCAUAGAUGUCCCCGGGUCUGCGAAGUGCACUCACCUGUCAGUGGACCUUUAGGUGGCUUCCAGAUCUUGGCUCUGGUGAGUAGUGCGGCGACAGACAGAGGGGUGCCCGGGUCUGCUUCCGGGAAAGUUUGGUCCCGGUGAAAUGGAGCUGUUUGGAGGCCGGCUUCGGUCUUUGUGUGGGCCGGCCCGUGUAGGGCUGCUUGGCUGAGACUCUGUCGAGGAGGGAGGCCUUCAGCCACCGGGGCCUCACGGGGCCUACCCGUGCGGCACCAUCACAGAGCUCUCCGUCACUGCCCCUUGUGGGGGUGAGGGAAGGGGCGUGUUGCGGGGGGGGGGGGCGUGUGUGUGGGGGGGAUGGUGGGCAAGG
rnacentral:lncRNA from 1 species